AGAGGGAGUUGACGGGCUGGAGUUGCCCUGCUAGUGCUAUUUCCAUUUUUACCACCUGAAUAAUGGAAUUCUUUCGGUAAUUUCCAGAGACCAGACCCUUCUGCUACUGUGCUGUUGCUAUGGAAAUUCUCCCAAACAGCAGGAAGGUGGGUCUGUUAGAAUCAGUGCUCUGAGGGAGCUCAACUGAGGCAAAACUAAGCUGAGAAGAACAUGCAUCAUUGUCCUGGGCAACUAAAGGAGACAUCACUGAGAGACCUGUUUUGCAUUCCAUUUCAACCUGGUGUUAAUAACAACCACUUGUUUUUUAGGGAGACUCCUGAUCCCUCCAUUUGCUCCAGAGCCAAAUCACUAUGAAAAAGAGGACUGCUUCCCAGCCUUGGGACUUGGUGGCAGGAACCGGGAGCAGACAGAAGCUGGGAGCUGAAAAUUAAAAUGGGACCUAGGAAGAAGUCUACAGACAUAUCAUUCUUGGACAGGGGCCAGAUCAGCAGAAAACCAGGCUGCUGUAUAUAAAAACAGCCUCCUAAGGGAAGCCCAAUUAAUUUUUCCAUGGUUCAUCCCCCAGAUGUAAGUUCAUUUUCAUCCUCCCUGAUGACACUAUGGAAAAUGACCUUCUUACUGUUUUGGAUUUUGGAUUUUUUUAGAUUCACCUGUUGCUCUUGCCAGUGAAGAUCAUAAAGGCACUAAGUAUUACAUGAAUGUCAUCUGCCUAUGUCUUGGAAAUUAUUUUUCUUAAAUCACUGA